CCUGAGAAACCCAAAAGAUCGAAUGGGGAGAUUCAUCGUCAGCUCAUUUUGUAUAUAUAUGAGUUAUGAUAUGGGUUACUACUUGUAGUAUUGCCUGUACAUUCUUAUAUAUUUUAUUGCAAGAUGUUGUCGGCGUGCACUUCUCCCCUAGUAGGACGUCGCGACCCGUUGAGUGUCGGUCUACGGCCCGAGUGGUAGCCUUUAAUUCUCUGUAAUUAAAGACCCUUGGUGUUUCCUGACUGACUGCUCGGCGGUAUUCGUACGGUAUUAAGCCGCAUUUAUGCGUUCAUAUCCGUCGCAAGCGCGGUCAAUUUUUGGUAGUACGGACCUAGUGCCGUCGUCAUAAUUGAUCAGCUGUUGGUUGUACGGUAUUCUAGAACUGGCUUAUAUAUACCGGUCUGCGAUGCUACUGCUUUGGUAC
rnacentral:rRNA from 1 species